AGACGACCUGCUCUGGGGCAUUAUUGGUGGGGUUGGGCCUCGUGUCCGGGCCUGUUUCUCUCCCCGUGGCCCGUUGGCCUCGUCCCCAGCACCGGACCCCUGUGAAGACAGUGGUGCGUGUGUCACAAAAGCUGCCAAGAAAUUCUGAGGUCAGAGCAUAGAAGGUCCGGGGCGUUGGGGAAAACUGAAGUGUCUCAGUUCUGGUCUGACAGAACAGGAAGGAUGGAGACGAGAAUUCCAGAAGAAGGUGGGGAUGAGGAGCCAUGGGGAAGAUGCUGUCUUUUAGUGCCACACAGGGAAAAUGAUGGCUCCCAGAGGCCACCGCGGACUUCUGGAAGGCCUCGUGCCGCUUGAUGAGGCUCUCAACUUCAUCGACCGUGCAGCCCAGCUCGGCACUUCGCACCAGCGGUUCCUGACUACAUAGCCAGGCCUCCGCCACACCUGCGUCUCUCCCGAACACCAGCACCUCCAAAACUGCAGGGGGGGCGGGUUGCAGAGAGGUGGCAAGUCAGAGUGGGCAACGGCAGGGCACUGUGGCCACAGCAGCUUUGGGAACGGGAACACCGAGAAGGACACUGCCCCAGAGCAGGAGCUCAGGGCAGAGCCAGGCAGUGCCCGGGCCACCCCCAGGCGCACCCCCCCGCCCAGGGCCUGGAGCCCUCAGCUGGUUUUCUACAGCAGCUCACCAAGCUGCAGCCAGUCCAUCUUCUCCUGCCACUUGUCAGCUGUCUCUUGGCGCCGUGCCUGAAGCUGAGACAGCUUCUCUGAGAUCUGGGGAGGCAGAGAUGCAAAUUAGCACUCAGUGAGGCCUUUGCAGGGCCCCUGGGGGUCUACUAAUGAUAUCUUUUUUUUUUUAAACUGUUUAUUUUGUAUCAGGGUAUAGCUGAUGAACAGUGUUGUGACAGUUUCAGGUCUGCGGAAGACACGUCCCUGGGGGCACAGAGACCGCAUCACCCACUGCCCACCACCCUCUUCCAGCCACGAACAUGUAGCCCCUGGAGGCCACCAGGCACUGUGGGUCUCACCGGGGCCGCUCCUGGGCAUCCAUCUGCAGGUUCACCCCGUCCAUCCACAGCAUCAGCUCCCGGACAGCCUUGAAGAAGCGGAACUUGUCUGUGGUGUCCAGCAGCAGCUGGCGGCGAGCAGCAGAGCUCCCCUGAAGCUGCGCCCAGGCCUCGGCCACGGCCUGCAUGUGGCGGCCGAUCUCCUCGGCCUUGUCGCCGGCGUAGGCCUUCUGGAGCCGGUGGCCAUCGUCCUGCACCUGCUGGACCUGCAGGGGCCCGGGUCAAAGUUAAGGGCUAACACCUGAGUGGGGCAACAGAUGGAUUUGAGUACAAAGGGAAGAAUCUUCUAGCUCCCGGAACCAUUUGAAAAUGUCAUGGGGCCGGACUUCCCUGGUGGUUAAGAAUCCACCUGCCAAUGCAGGGGACCUGGGUUCCACCCCUGGUCCGGGAAUAUCCCAUAUGCCGUGCGCUGCAAUGAAGAGCAGCCCCUAUUCGGUACAACUAGAGAAAGCCCGCACGCAGCAACAAAGACCCAGUGCAACCAAAAAUAAAAAGAAAUGUAAAAAAAAAAGAAAAUGUCACGGGCCCUCAAAGAGCCUUGUCAUUCCGGGUAUGGAAACGGUGGCUAGAUGUCCCCUGGCCAGAGAUGGUUCCCCCGAAUCAUUCUAAGUGCAUCCCUACAUGGCCCUGCAGGGCAUGCCCACCCUCCAGUCCCUCCCCCGCAUUCCC